rnacentral:rRNA from 1 species
UACGAAGGGGGCUAGCGUUGCUCGGAAUUACUGGGCGUAAAGCGCACGUAGGCGGGUAUUUAAGUCAGGGGUGAAAUCCCAGAGCUCAACUCUGGAACUGCCUUUGAUACUGGGUACCUAGAGUAUGGAAGAGGUAAGUGGAAUUCCGAGUGUAGAGGUGAAAUUCGUAGAUAUUCGGAGGAACACCAGUGGCGAAGGCGGCUUACUGGUCCAUUACUGACGCUGAGGUGCGAAAGCGUGGGGAGCAAACAAG